AGGACGAACGCUGGCGGCGUGCUUAACACAUGCAAGUCGAACGGUGAAGCCUUUCGGGGUGGAUCAGUGGCGAACGGGUGAGUAACACGUGGGCAAUCUGCCCUGCAUUCUGGGACAAGCCUUGGAAACGAGGUCUAAUACCGGAUACGACGCAUCCCCGCAUGGGGUGUGCGUGGAAAGCUCCGGCGAUGCAGGAUGAGCCCGCGGCCUAUCAGCUUGUUGGUGGGGUAAUGGCCUACCAAGGCGACG
rnacentral:rRNA from 1 species